UACGGGGGGGGCAAGCGUUGUUCGGAAUUACUGGGCGUAAAGGGCUUGUAGGUGGCCAACUAAGUCAGACGUGAAAUCCCUCGGCUUAACCGGGGAACUGCGUCUGAUACUGGAUGGCUAGAGUGUGAGAGAGGGAUGCGGAAUUCCAGGUGUAGCGGUGAAAUGCGUAGAUAUCUGGAGGAACACCGGUGGCGAAGGCGGCAUCCUGGACCACGACUGACACUGAAAAGCGAAAGCCAGGGGAGCAAACGGG
rnacentral:rRNA from 1 species